GUAGGGAAUAUUGCGCAAUGGGGGAAACCCUGACGCAGCGACGCCGCGUGAGUGAUGAAGGCCUUCGGGUCGUAAAGCUCUGUUGCAGGGGAAUAAAAAAAUGAAGGUACCCUGUGAGGAAGGAUCGGCUAACUUCGUGCCAGCAGCCGCGGUAAGACGAGGGAUCCUAGCGUUGCUCGGAAUCAUUGGGCGUAAAGAGGGCGUAGGUGGCUUGGUAAGUCAGGUGUGAAAGCCCAGGGCUCAACCCUGGAAGUGCAUUUGAUACUGCUGAGCUUGAUUGUCGGAGAGGUUACCGGAAUACCUGGGGUAGUGGUGAAAUACGUAGAUAUCAGGUGGAACACCGGAGGCGAAGGCGGGUAACUGGACGAACACUGACACUGAGGCCCGAAAGCGUGGGGAUCAAACAGGAUUAGAUACCCGGGUAGUCC
rnacentral:rRNA from 1 species